rnacentral:rRNA from 1 species
GGAAUAUUGCGCAAUGGGGGAAACCCUGACGCAGCAACGCCGCGUGCGGGAUGAAGGCCUUCGGGUUGUAAACCGCUUUCAGUAGGGAAGAAUACAUGACUGUACCUACACAAGAAGCCCCGGCUAAUUACGUGCCAGCAGCCGCGGUAACACGUAAGGGGCGAGCGUUAUCCGGAUUCAUUGGGCGUAAAGCGCGCGCAGACGGCUGUCUAAGCGGGACCUCUAAUCUUUGGGCUCAACCCAAAGCCGGGUUCCGAACUGGGCGGCUCGGGUGUGGUAGAGGCAAGCGGAAUUCCCGGUGUAGCGGUGGAAUGCGCAGAUAUCGGGAAGAACACCGAUGGCGAAGGCAGCUUGCUGGGCCAUUACCGACGUUGAGGCGCGAAAGCUGGGGGAGCGAACA